rnacentral:rRNA from 1 species
ACGCUCGACACCUACAGGAGGCAGCAGUGGGGGAUAUUGCACAAUGGGCGCAAGCCUGAUGCAGCGACGCCGCGUGAGGGAAGACGGUCUUCGGAUUGUAAACCUCUGUCUUCGGGGACGAUAAUGACGGUACCCGAGGAGGAAGCCACGGCUAACUACGUACCAGCAGCCGCGGUAAUCUGAGCGGCUGGCAAGGC